AAAAAUAUAUAUAUAUAUAUAUUACUCUGUAGCCAGAUCAUGUAGCACCACUCAUGUAUUCUGAUAAGUUAAGUAUUUUAGGUCAGAUAACCCUUUCAAGAUGCUAGUAAGUUACUUUAAAUGUUUGUGAAAGGGAAACCUAGUCUCCAUUACUGGCAGUCUUCUCUUUAAAGAAAAA